AUGUGUGUACCGAAGGAGAGAGGUGGUAUGGAGUUCAGGGACAUACAUAGUUUUAAUAUGGCCAUGUUAGCAAAGCAAUGUUGGAAGCUCAUUGAGAAUUAUGACUCCCUUUAUGCAAGAGUUCUUCGAGCAAGAUAUUACCCAAGUGGGGAUAUCCUCGAUUGUGAUUUGAAGAAAGGUUCUUCUUUUGUUUGGCAAAGUAUUUGGGCAGGGUUCCAAACUUUC
rnacentral:rRNA from 1 species